UACGUAGGGGGCAAGCGUUGUCCGGAUUUAUUGGGCGUAAAGGGCUCGUAGGCGGUUUGUCGCGUCGGGAGUGAAAACGCCGGGCUUAACCCGGUGCUUGCUUUCGAUACGGGCAGACUAGAGUGUGGUAGGGGAGAUCGGAAUUCCUGGUGUAGCGGUGAAAUGCGCAGAUAUCAGGAGGAACACCGGUGGCGAAGGCGGGUCUCUGGGCAGUAACUGACACUGAGGCGCGAAAGCCAGGGGAGCAAACGGG
rnacentral:rRNA from 1 species